AAAGAAUCUAAGAAAACGAGCCAUCUCUCACUUCAACCUAGAGGCUGGGAAGAGAAGUUCCUGACUCAAAGAAAACCGAAUCAGAUAAAAUUGAUGAGGAUGCCUUCCUUUAACUGGGGAGAAAGAGCAUCUUAAGUGCUGUAACAGAGAUAAUGUUCAAAGUGGCAACCCAGAGUAAAUGCAAUGACUAACUAUAGGGAAGAAUCAAGAAGAGCUUCAAAAAGAAGUUACAGUGAAUAAUCAAGGACAGCUAAGAGGUCAUCAGGGGGAGAGAGGAGAGAGUGAAGAAACUCAGUUUCUCUCAUUUACCAAAGUCCUCAGUUACCCAUCAGAGUCACAUACGGUCCAGAGAUAGAUGACUGCAAAGCAGUAGCAAUGCCAGUCCAGACCACAAUCAAGUCUCUGGAUUCUGAAGUGCCCUCAAACUGGUGGAAUGACAAUCAUGACCCUCCAAACUAUUUAGAAUAAAUCUCAAGCUUUGCA